GACGAACGCUGGCGGCGUGCCUAACACAUGCAAGUCGAGCGGGGAUUUAAGUGGAAGUUCUUCGGAAUGGAGAUUUAAAUUCUAGCGGCGGACGGGUGAGUAACGCGUGAACAAUCUGUCCCGGACAGGGGGAUAACACUUGGAAACAGGUGCUAAUACCGCAUAAGACCACGGCCCCGCAUGGGGCUGAGGUAAACGGAGCAAUCCGGUUCGGGGUGAGUUCGCGUCCGAUUAGCUAGUUGGUGAGGUAACGGCCCACCAAGGCGACGAUCGGUAGCCGGCCUGAGAGGGUGAACGGCCACAUUGGAACUGAGAGACGGUCCAAACUCCUACGGGAGGCAGCAGUGGGGAAUAUUGGGCAAUGGGCGAAAGCCUGACCCAGCAACGCCGCGUGAGGGAAGAAGGUUUUCGGAUUGUAAACCUCUGUCCUAUGGGACGAAGGAAGUGACGGUACCAUAGGAGGAAGCCCCGGCUAACUACGUG
rnacentral:rRNA from 1 species